rnacentral:rRNA from 1 species
GCAUAUCAAUAAGCGGAGGAAAAGAAACUAACAAGGAUUCCCCUAGUAACGGCGAGUGAAGCGGGAACAGCUCAAGCCUAAAAUCUGCAGGUAUUUACUACCUGUCGAAUUGUAGCUUAUGGAAGCAGUCAUCGACUCUGCAACUUGGUAAAAGUUCUUUUGAAUAAGACAUCAAAGAGGGUGAAAAUCCCGUAUUUGACCAGGUUAUUAAGCAGGGAAAUGUGAACUGUUUUCUUUGAGUCGGGUUGUUUGGAAAUGCAGCCCUAAUUAGGAGGUAAAUUUCUUCUAAAGCUAAAUAUAAGCAAGAGACCGAUAGUAAACAAGUACCGUGAGGGAAAGAUGAAAAGCACUUUGAAAAGAGAGUGAAAAGUACGUGAAAUUGUUAAAAGGGAACCAGUUGGUAGCAAAGCAUCUGCAGCUGAUGCCUGGGUAGUUUACUACUUGGGUGUUGGUGAGUAGGGGGUCAACAUCAGUUAGUAUUGCUUGAAAGGAAAAGAAAUAGAGUAGCGGGAGUAAGGUAGAGUAGUCGGCAGUCUUCGGACAUUAUUGCUGGUUGCUUGUUAUAGACUUCCAAUAUGASUAUCCUGAGCCUUUGGAGUGAUGGUGACUGAGGUAAAUCUGCAGUGCGGUACUUGUACCUGGCUGUUAUAGUGGUGGUAUUAAUUAAAAAGUUCUGUUGGGUUAUUAGACAGCUUGCUGACUAGUAGUUCGAAUGGGAUAUACCAUUAUUAUAGCGGACCAUAAAGCGCUUAGGAUGUUGGCGAAACGGCACCAAUUGACCCGUCUUGAAACACGGACC